GAAACAAAAAAAGAAAAUCGAAUGGAGGAGUAGGAAUAACAAAAUGGAGACAGCAGCAGAAGACAGAGAGAGGUGGACAAGAGAACACCCUCAAGAUAAAGAGACCAGGGCACAGAAAGGGAAGAGGCAAAGAGACAAGUACAUGAGGAAACAUGUCAGACUUGGAGCUGCUGUGUUCUUCCUCAACUAUCUCACCCCUAAUCUUCAACUUGAUGCCUGUGACCACACUAUGGCAGCAGUCUCCAGCCUGGUUGUACAUUAG
rnacentral:lncRNA from 1 species